UUAUUUACUUAUCCUAACAUUAAUAAACUCUGAUUUUUAAUGUAGCUGAAGAAAGCAAGCAAAUUUAUUUAAUAAUUUCGUGGGUAUUGGAGAGCCAGAAAUUGACUCUGAUAACAUAUCGCCAAAACAGAAUCAUAACUGACAGUGGCAGUCAGAUUCAAGCAGCUAAAACAGCUUGUUCGGGCCCAUAGAUGACAACAUUGAGGCACGGAGAGGUGGCAGGGCUAAUUCCAGGUCACAUAAAUGUUGAACGGCAGAGCUGAUGUCAGAAUCCAUUCGAUCAGACCACCCACUGUGUACUCUUGGAGUCAGUUAGGGCAUCAUUGACUGUGAAGAAGAAGCUGCUGACGUAAGCAGUAAGCAGAUGACCUUUUAAAAUGUGAGGACAUAAAGCCCGGAACAUACACACUCCAGCAGCUCCGCCCCUGCCUGGUUUCCAUGGCAAUAUCAGUUACAGGCCUCGUGCUGCUGGGACCAAUGGAAUGAGUGGAUGAACUGCAGCAAUGUUUACUGCUCUUCCGUUCUGACUGUGAUUUUCUUCCCCCACUCAGUGGCCGUUCCCAUCCCUUAUUCUGCCUGACUGGCAGAACAAACUCCUUAGGACGGUCUUGUUGUUGUUGGCGUUGUCGUCGCUGUCGUCGUCGUCGUCGUCGUCGUCGUCGUCGUCGUUGUUGUUGUUGUUGUUUAUGCGUUUUAAAAAUCUGCAGUUACAGAGCAUGAGAUGAUAAGCUUGUAAAGAAACAGCCCUGUGUCUAAGGAUAGUUGAAGGGAUGGUACAAACAAUAGGAGCCCUCUAUGAUGGCUGAAUCACGUCCCUAGCCCUCGCACUCAGCGCUCCCUGAAGAUCUCCUGUACUGUCAUCCUUUUCCUUGUACUUACACUCUGGUUUCUCUUCAGAUCGUAUAAAUCUUUCGCCUUUUCCUUGUACUUACAAUACUCGGAUGCGUACUGUUUCGAGCGACCAAGCAGGAUUCUAAGACCAUUGACUACGACUCUAAUUUGCCAAUUCUGGAUUUUGUACUUGCUUCUCAGAAUGUGAAAGUUCCGAGACCAGACCAGAAGAAAGAGUGGACAUCCUCAAGCUGCAUUAUGUAGGAAGUCGGGCUUGUUGGGUUGCCUCUACCAUUGAAAUGUUAUUGACAAAGAGGAAACAGGUUGCCCCCAUAUAAUAAAUGUGCCUAAUUUGCCCAUGCAGCAGGCUGAUAACAAGAUAAUGACAUCAGUAACUAACAGAAUGCAUGACGAUUACAAAGCAAUUGUUUGCACACGCGUAUAUACUUGUUAGCACUUAAAAGGAGUGGCCAGACCAGUUCCCCCUUCAUUACUGUAAAUGCUUAUGCUGCCAACUAGCUUCCUAAAGAAGAGAGGCCUAUUUGGGACAUAGUUCUGGAGGCUCAAGUUCACCUUCACCUUUAGUGAGAAUUUUAUAGAGAACACAGGAACAAGAGGAAGAUUAUGUCUCCAGACAAAGAACUACAGAAAGAUUCCAGGGCUGGGCUUGCGCAUAUAAAAAGCUCACCCUCCCUCAGGGCAAUUCAGGGUCUCUUGAGAACCAUAUUGAUGUCCUUUGAAGGCAUGCCACAUUGACCUUAGAAAAUCACCCAAGCCCCACAUCACUCCUUUUCCUUCCUGAACAGUAUGCAGGGGACCAGGCUUCUGACAAGCAACUACGUGGGACAAACCAGUUCCAAAUAAUAGCAACCAGUCAGUUUGUGUUCUCAUGUGAAAACUAAUAAAACGCAAAAUGUACACAAGAAAACUCUAUUCUAGAAUAUGUAAUUUCACAAACCGAUGACUUUCUUUUUCAAAGCCUACAGAGUUAGCCCCACUAAUUCAACCAGUUAGAACGGUUAUGUGUGGUACUAUCUGUCUGUCAAUUUGAUGCUAAAUUUUUCUCUACAUUUUUAUCACUUAUCUAAGGUGGGGCUUACUUCCUGCUUAUUUUAUAUAAUCUAUGAUUUUUAUAUUUCUAUUCUAUACCACCAUUGGUUAUGAACAAGAAGGACCUACAAACUAAUUGUAUAGUACACAUCAGCUAUUUCCAGCCUGCCAGAAAAGUCAAAUUUGUGCUGGAUGUUGAUUGACUUGAGAAUAUAUGAGGACUGUGGGAAUGAGUGAGCAGACCUAAGUUGCAUCACUAAAUAAAGACAGCCAGCAUGUACCUGGUUUGAAUUUGCAAUUUUGAAUUUGCAGGUUAAUAUCUGAAUAUACAGUUCAGCAGGAAAACUAUAGGAAAGUCUGUCACAGAGCAAGAUCUGUAGAGUUCUGGGAACUAAACCCAAUCUAUCUCAUCUUCAAUGUAUAGAAAGUCUUGAGGCAAAAACCCCAUGCCCAGGAAAGAAAGGAAGGAAGGAUUAAAGGGACUAAAGGAAUUAAAGGAAGGAUAAAUUUUAGAGAAAAGGUGAUUGUGAACACCACAGAACAAAAGAUAAGAAAAUGUAGGGAAAAAAUGAGCUAAAAACCAAUUUGCAUCUCUUACCCCGUACUGAGAAGCUUCUGUACUCUGGGAUGCUUCUAAAAUAUUCAAGAUAACAUGAGAAUUUAUUCCAUUUAAUUUAAAACUUGAUUAUAGGUAGAGGGCAUAAUUCAAGAAGAUAACAACAUUUAGGGUCUCUGCUCACAUUUAUCCGUGCUUGGAUUAAUAUAAUGGAGACAGCUGUAGGCAGGCUUUCAUUGGUCCUGCUCACCAAAAGGUAUUCUAUACAUGGUCUUGGAUCAAUAGCUCCAGACUCCACCCACACAGCUGACAGCCCCAUGGGCAUCCCCAUGGGAGAAUCUCUAAGAACAAGUAUAUUUAAGUAGUGCACGCUAUUUACUUGCUGCUAUAUAAGCUACAGAAACAGACUCCACCAGUAUUUCUUGGCAGGAGGAAAUGCACAGACGAUAAAUUUUAAAAUCUCACUGUGCAAUUUAAUUUUUCCAUUAAAAUAUUUAUUUUCUUUAAACAAGUCUUUUAAAAUGAUGUUUAAAAAAAACACCAUUUGUUAUUGGAUGGAGACUCUACCAAGAAAGACAAGGCAGGAGUCCUGUAGAUGCUCUACCCUAGCAGCCAGACCUUUUACACAGUAUGUUCCUAAAUAUUACCUAUGAAGGGGUUAAUUAAAAAAUAAAGAUCUAAAGGUCAGUAGGAUGACUCAGUAGGGAAAAGUGCCUGCUACCAAGCCUGGAGAUACAAGGUAAAAGGAGAGAAUAAUUGUCCUCUGACCUCUGCUUGUGUAGCCCGAUAUACACACUAUGUCACCUAUAAAAAUAAAUGUAAAAAAAAAAAAAACUUAAAGGUUACAGACUCUACAUACACUGUGCAACUGUAAUUUAAAGAAGGAAAAAUGUCAAACUGCUUUAUACUCUGCCCUAGAAUUGUCUGGUUAGGAACCUCGGAAGGCGUGGGGGAUCUCCUUAGAGCCAUCUAUCCAGCUUGGAUAGGACCAGAUUUACAAAGCUCCUUGUGGAUAACCUGAAACAAAUAGUUUUCUCUGUGUGAAUUUAAA